rnacentral:misc_RNA from 1 species
UAUGAAGAACGUAGCGAAAUGCGAUACUUGGUGUGAAUUGCAGAAUCCCGUGAACCAUCGAGUCUUUGAACGCAAGUUGCGCCCGAAGCCAUUAGGCCGAGGGCACGCCUGCCUGGGCGUCACACGUCGUUGCCCCCCCAUCUACUCCUUCGGGAUUGCGGGGGGCGGAUGAUGGCCUCCCGUGCGCCUCGUCGCGCGGUUGGCCUAAAUGCCAAGUCCUCGGCGACGCACGCCACGACAAUCGGUGGUUGCGAAACCUCGGUUGCCUGUCGUGUGCGGUCGUCGCGCAUCGAGGGCUCGAAAAAAUUGCCGGGCUUCGGCUCGACUUUCAACGCGACCCCAGGUCAGGCGGGGUUACCCGCUGAAUUUAAGCAUAUCAAUAAGCGGAGGA